UUCAAGUUCAAAGUUUGCUCUCCUCUUUGGGCAUAUAUUAAAUAUACUAAAAAGCUCUUCUGCAAACUGACAAGUUCCAAGUAUUCAUAUAGGUGUUUUAGCUACAUUUCACGCGCUACAUGAUGCAAUAAAUUCCAAAAUCCCAGCAUUACUUACCAUUCAAUUUUUAUUAGGUAGAGUUCAAACUUCACUUCAGUCGUUGCGUCGUGUAGAGUGUCAAAUGUAGAUAUCAUUUUACACUAAAAUAUAACACCCCUCAUUUAGCAUGGCGUAUUUUCAAAAGAUCAUACAAUACAAGUUGAGUUUUAAAAGCUACAUUCCGCAGAACUCCAAGUGAAAAAUCAUCGGUACUUUGGACUUUGGUAGUAAAGUAACCGGUAGUAAUAUUUCCACCAAUUUUAUAUAAAUCAUCAUUUCGAAAUUGAAAUUCGAAGUUGAAUGUUGUUUGUUUAAUUUCACUGACUGAACUUAAAGUUCUAGAUUAGGGAAGUAUACGCAUACGCCAUUUUGGUUCGACACAACGGAUGUAAACAACAUUAGAACGUAUGUACGCAUACAAUCUUACGUGUAAAAAAUGCAAUUUUUUCGAUUGUUCGCGGGUUCGGGUGAAUUUUUAAGUAGUUUCCAGCUAAAGACAAUGAAAUUUCCUAUCGAUUGAUGUUAAAUUUUUGUUAUUUCGCGCAAAAUUGACGAUUUUCUGAAUACUUAUAUUAUCCGAUUUUUUCAUACUAUAUGUGUCAACUUUAAACUAAAAAUACUCGAAAUCUUCAGUGAACACACAGGUAUUUUAAUAUAGCAAAAUGUUCGUAAUUUCUUCGUCUUUAAAAUGAGUGUUUAUCGAAAGCUCUACAUGCAACCGUUCAAAAGUUGUAGAAGUUUAAAGUUGCGAAAACAAUGCAAAAACCAACCGCGGAUGGUAACUAUGGUAAGUAUUGAACUUUGAACUAGAAUUACUCAAAAUUUUCAACGAACACAUAGGUAUAUUAAUACAGCAAAACGUUCGUUAUUUUAUCCUUUUUAAAAUGGAUCUUUACCGAAAGCUCUACCUUCUACCGUUCAAAAAUUCUUGAAGAUCAAAGUUGCGGAAAGUGUUCAAAUUGUGUUAUCACUGUUAUCAGUCACUUAGUGUUGAUUGUAGAACAUUUUCCGCAACUUUGAUCUUCAAGAAUUUUUGAACGGUAGAAGGUAGAGCUUUCGGUAAAGACCCAUUUUAAAAAGGAUAAAAUAACGAACGUUUUGCUGUAUUAAUAUACCUAUGUGUUCGUUGAAAAUUUUGAGUAAUUCUAAUUCAAAGUUCAAUACUUACCAUCCGCGGUUGGUUUUUGCAUUGUUUUCGCAACUUUAAACUUCUACAACUUUUGAACGGUUGCAUGUAGAGCUUUCGAUAAACACUCAUUUUAAAGACGAAGAAAUUACGAACAUUUUGCUAUAUUAAAAUACCUGUGUGUUCACUGAAGAUUUCGAGUAUUUUUAGUUUAAAGUUGACACAUAUAGUAUGAAAAAAUCGGAUAAUAUAAGUAUUCAGAAAAUCGUCAAUUUUGCGCGAAAUAACAAAAAUUUAACAUCAAUCGAUAGGAAAUUUCAUUGUCUUUAGCUGGAAACUACUUAAAAAUUCACCCGAACCCGCGAACAAUCGAAAAAAUUGCAUUUUUUACACGUAAGAUUGUAUGCGUACAUACGUUCUAAUGUUGUUUACAUCCGUUGUGUCGAACCAAAAUGGCGUAUGCGUAUACUUCCCUAAUCUAGAACUUUAACUGAACUGAACUGAUAACUGACUCGUAUAUGAUUCAUUUUAGCGUUCGUUCAGUGGUGGUGCCGAACUACAAGAGCAUUUGGAAUUAUGCUUUUUUGGUCGAAAAUGUCGAAAUCUCGAAAUCGAAAUGGUCGGAUGACGGAUUGACAUGGAAUUUUUCAGGAGCCGGUUAUACUACACUGAGAAUGCAAUUUUCGUCCGUUAUCCAUGAACAUUUUCUCAAGUCUAUGGCACCAGACACGUGCAUGUUAUCAUAAAAAUAAAAAUACUAAAUUAUCAAUUUUCCGAACGUUAUUCUAACAUAUCUUGAGGUUUUUUGAUGCGCAAUAAUGGGUUUUCAAAACGAAUGAAUUUUGUUACAAGUUUCUGAUUCGAUAGUUCAAAGCAUACCAAAUCUGCGCGAUCAUUACUCAUUAUUCUUGAUCGAAGCUCAAGAAUUUGAUUUCAACAUGUCGAACAGGAAUUCUUCCACCAGAUCACAACGCACAAAUGAUGGUGUUGGUAACGCAAAUAGCUCUUCCAAAAUCGAGAACCGUCGCACCUGCUAUUUAUCGUGGAAUAUUGAUAAUUUAUCGAGAUUGGGAUGGCCAUCCGGAAAAAUUUCAUCUCCCAUAUUUUCAUCUGCAGAUGACGAUUUAAAAUGGUAUUUGGAAUUUUCAAGCGAUUUGGAUUCGCCUAAUGGGCGUAUUUCGAGGCUUUUGAAACUUGACCAUGAAAAUGGUUUUUUCAACGAAUAUAACGCUAUAUCAGGGGACGCGGAAUUGACUGUUAUAAGAGGUAUUGGUAAUGGUCACGUUAAGAAGAGCAAACAAAAAUUUGAAAUCCAGUAUACCGGUAAUACACAGGUAUUGCCCUGUAUACGUUUUCCGGAAAUUGUUGAUCAUUCCAGUAUUUGGGAUAGUUAUGGGAUAAGUCAAAGUAAUCCACUGAGAAUUGCUUGUAAAGUCUCCUACGAAAUGACUAAAAUAGAAAUAUAUGAAAAUCCUACUUCUGACCUCUCUGACGACUUGAAAAAUCUAUUUACCGAUAAAGAAUUCAGCGACGUAAUCAUAAAGGUAAAAGGUAAAGAAUACCCUGUUUAUAAAGGUAUUUUAGCUACUCGUAGUCCCGUUUUUAAAGCGAUGUUCCGAGAAAACAACGGCAUGAUAGAGAACACAACAAAUGUUGUCACGAUUUCGGACUUUACUCCAGAAGUUAUUGAACAGAUGUUACUGUUCAUUUAUACCGGAAAGGUUGAAACAUUGGAAAAAUUGGUUUACGAAUUGCUACGCGCAGCAAAUAAGUAUCAGCUGGAAAAAUUGAUGGACAUGUGUGAAGAUGAGUUAGGUAUUUAAGCAGUUGUCUAAAGAUAAUGUGAUCAAAAUUUUAAUACUGGCUCAUGAGCACAAUGCGAGUUGGCUGAAAACAGAAGCGCUUAAAUUUGUAAAAUCGAAUUCGCGUUACGCAGAUCUCAAGAAAACUAAAAUUUGGAAAGUUUUAACUUCAUAUAAUGACUUGAUGGAAGAUUUGAUUGCUGUUCUUCUUGACGAAUAAAGACUCUUAUAACUAAUAUCGAAUGAAUCUGAUGUGAUUACACGCAUCUAACGUGUCCCAUUCUUUUUUCGAUUAACCCUUACGUGGGUAUAAUUUUUUUCAUCAUUUUUUCAAUUUUUAUAUUACGGUAGUGCUUUAAUAUUACAUAGGUACCUACUCAAAUAUUGAUAUCGCUGGGAAAAUUUUUUUAAAAAAACUCAUUAUUUGUCUUUUAUUUACUUAGCUACAGUAAGUUUAUUUGUAAAUUUUAUACCUUAGUAACCUACGAGCUUAAACCAUUUUUAUUUGUAUGUUUCUUUAAUGUAAGAGGGUAUUAUUUAGAAUUAAAAAUGUUUGAUGUUGGCA